GGGGAUGACUGGUAUCGACAGGGAGUGAAGGUCGUAGAUUGCAAGCCGUGACGCCCAGUCACGUAAAAAGGGCAAUGCCAAUAACUGGCAACAACAGCUACUCGGGCCGCAUGGCCCUCGCUGCCUAAAAAUAGGUAGUGCGCCCUCACUGACUCGCUCGAUGGUCAGUGACCCGGCGUCAACAAGUCGAGUGCUCCCUGGGUGACCACCUGCUGGCCCGGGGAAAAGAUAAGCGGGUUUGCCCAAAGACUGCUUUGCUACUUGUGCAGGCGCGGGCGAGCUACGAACAAAUGGCUAAGCUUGUAGGAUAUCUGCGGCGUAGCUUUCUGGACGGGGGUUCGAAUCCCCCCAUCUCCACCA
rnacentral:tmRNA from 1 species